AAUAGAUGACUCCGACCCUUCACUCCACUCUGAAACAUCACAUCAUUAGAAACUUCAGAAGAUGUGGCCCUUCCUUCUGCUGAAAUGAAUGUCACCGUCACCCAAAAGAAGCACUCCGUCAGAUGAGCGGAUGUCUUCUGGAGCCAGCGCUAUGAGGCUGCCUUGCAAUGGUAAAACUACCAAAAAGAAGAGUCAGAAGAGUCCUUGGCAGCAGCCUGAGGUGCAGGCAGUGGAAAGGCACUUGAAGCCGUUUAUUUUAUCUUGCACUGUCCCAGCAAAAAGGAAAAAUGUCUGAGAGCUGAACCUGAAGCUUUGAAGAACCGCGAUUGGAAGACAGUAAAAUUUUACAUAUAUAAUCGCAUCACAGCAUACAAAAAAAAAUUGGAGAGUAAAUAAUAGUAUAAAUAUAAUCGUUCAUGCCAGGAAGUAUGUUUAAGAUUUAUCAAAAAUAGGAUAACUUUGUUUGACCAUUUCAGCUUGUGGUUUUCAAAAACAUGCUGCAAAAGACACUUCAAAUAGUGUGUCAUGUACAAGCCAAAAAGCAUUGGUCUGUGUUUCAAAGAUGUAUUUGUUCAUUCACAUCUGUAAAAGGAAGUAUGUGUUAAAGAUAGUUAAAGGGAUGGUUUACUCCAAUUUUAAAUUUGUCAUUAUUCUUCCUAGUGUUUUUAAACCCCUGAUACCAUCCAUCUUCAGAGCACAAAUGAAAAUAUUUUAGAUGAAAUGCA